GACGAACGCUGGCGGCGUGCUUAACACAUGCAAGUCGAACGGAAAGGCCCUGCUUUUGUGGGGUGCUCGAGUGGCGAACGGGUGAGUAACACGUGAGUAACCUGCCCUUGACUUUGGGAUAACUUCAGGAAACUGGGGCUAAUACCGGAUAGGAGCUCCUGCUGCAUGGUGGGGGUUGGAAAGUUUCGGCGGUUGGGGAUGGACUCGCGGCUUAUCAGCUUGUUGGUGGGGUAGUGGCUUACCAAGGCUUUGACGGGUAGCCGGCCUGGGAGGGUGACCGGCCACAUUGGGACUGAGAUACGGCCCAGACUCCUACGGGAGGCAGCAGUAGGGAAUAUUGCACAAUGGGCGGAAGCCUGAUGCAGCAACGCCGCGUGCGGGAUGACGGCCUUCGGGUUGUAAACCGCUUUCGCCUGUGACGAAGCGUGAGUGACGGUAAUGGGUAAAGAAGCACCGGCUAACUACGUG
rnacentral:rRNA from 1 species